rnacentral:RNase_P_RNA from 1 species
AGAGCAGGCCGGAUGGCCGCUGCUUUGCUUUGCUGCAAAGGGGAGGAAAGUCCGGGCUCCGCAGGACAGGAUGCUGGAUAACGUCCAGUCCCGGUGACGGGAAGGAAAGUGCAACAGAAAGCAUACCGCCUCUCUCCCGGCCCUGCCGGGGGUUAUGGUAAGGGUGAAAUGGUGAGGUAAGAGCUCACCGUCCUGGCGGUGACGUCAGGGGCUUGGCAAACCCCAUCCGGAGCAAGACCAAAUAAGGAGGAGCAUGAGGGUGGUCCGCCCGAUCCUCCGGGUAGAUC